AACGUAGGAGGCAAGCGUUAUCCGGAAUUACUGGGCGUAAAGGGCGUCUAGGCGGAAGGGCAAGCGCGAUGUGAAAGCUCCUGGCUCAACUGGGAGAGUGCGUAGCGAACUGCUCAUCUAGAGGUCAGGCGAUGGGGGUGGAAUUCCAGGUGUAGCGGUGAAAUGCGUAGAUAUCUGGAGGAACACCGGUGGCGAAGGCGGGUCUCUGGGCCGAUACUGACGCUGAGGAGCGAAAGCGUGGGGAGCGAACAGG
rnacentral:rRNA from 1 species